rnacentral:sRNA from 1 species
UCCACCCAACGGGGGUGGGAAAUGGGUCC